AGAGUUUGAUCAUGGCUCAGAUUGAACGCUGGCGGCAGGCCUAACACAUGCAAGUCGAGCGGAUGAAGGGAGCUUGCUCCUGGAUUCAGCGGCGGACGGGUGAGUAAUGCCUAGGAAUCUGCCUGGUAGUGGGGGAUAACGUCCGGAAACGGGCGCUAAUACCGCAUACGUCCUGAGGGAGAAAGUGGGGGAUCUUCGGACCUCACGCUAUCAGAUGAGCCUAGGUCGGAUUAGCUAGUUGGUGAGGUAAAGGCCUACCAAGGCGACGAUCCGUAACUGGUCUGAGAGGAUGAUCAGUCACACUGGAACUGAGACACGGUCCAGACUCCUACGGGAGGCAGCAGUGGGGAAUAUUGGACAAUGGGCGAAAGCCUGAUCCAGCCAUGCCGCGUGUGUGAAGAAGGUCUUCGGAUUGUAAAGCACUUUAAGUUGGGAGGAAGGGCAGUAAGUUAAUACCUUGCUGUUUUGACGUUACCAACAGAAUAAGCACCGGCUAACUUCGUGCCAGCAGCCGCGGUAAUACGAAGGGUGCAAGCGUUAAUCGGAAUUACUGGGCGUAAAGCGCGCGUAGGUGGUUCAGCAAGUUGGAUGUGAAAUCCCCGGGCUCAACCUGGGAACUGCAUCCAAAACUACUGAGCUAGAGUACGGUAGAGGGUGGUGGAAUUUCCUGUGUAGCGGUGAAAUGCGUAGAUAUAGGAAGGAACACCAGUGGCGAAGGCGACCACCUGGACUGAUACUGACACUGAGGUGCGAAAGCGUGGGGAGCAAACAGGACUAGAUACCCUGGUAGUCCACGCCGUAAACGAUGUCGACUAGCCGUUGGGAUCCUUGAGAUCUUAGUGGCGCAGCUAACGCGAUAAGUCGACCGCCUGGGGAGUACGGCCGCAAGGUUAAAACUCAAAUGAAUUGACGGGGGCCCGCACAAGCGGUGGAGCAUGUGGUUUAGUUCGAAGCAACGCGAAGAACCUUACCUGGCCUUGACAUGCUGAGAACUUUCCAGAGAUGGAUUGGUGCCUUCGGGAACUCAGACACAGGUGCUGCAUGGCUGUCGUCAGCUCGUGUCGUGAGAUGUUGGGUUAAGUCCCGUAACGAGCGCAACCCUUGUCCUUAGUUACCAGCACCUCGGGUGGGCACUCUAAGGAGACUGCCGGUGACAAACCGGAGGAAGGUGGGGAUGACGUCAAGUCAUCAUGGCCCUUACGGCCAGGGCUACACACGUGCUACAAUGGUCGGUACAAAGGGUUGCCAAGCCGCGAGGUGGAGCUAAUCCCAUAAAACCGAUCGUAGUCCGGAUCGCAGUCUGCAACUCGACUGCGUGAAGUCGGAAUCGCUAGUAAUCGUGAAUCAGAAUGUCACGGUGAAUACGUUCCCGGGCCUUGUACACACCGCCCGUCACACCAUGGGAGUGGGUUGCUCCAGAAGUAGCUAGUCUAACCGCAAGGGGGACGGUUACCACGGAGUGAUUCAUGACUGGGGUGAAGUCGAAACAAGGUA
rnacentral:rRNA from 1 species